rnacentral:lncRNA from 1 species
GAGGGGAUUAUUUUUGGAAAUUAAUUACAUCCCUCAACAAGGUAUGUCAAGUAAACUGAACUUGGUUCACAUGAUAGAGAAGAGAUCGAUAAAUCAACUUGGAUGAAAAAGGAAAGAAGUUGACAUAAAUAGGAAAAAACUAGCUCGAAGAUGAUAUAUAUUUGAUAAUCUCAAAAGUCGGCACAAGAAUUAGAGUUUACAUAGUUUCAGUAAAGCUCCUUCCGUUAUCAUGAACCUCGUGUUUACUUGUUUCGUACGUUCUCGUCUCUCUUCAAUGUUCAACCAGUUCUCCGGAUUAACCGAGUCUAAAGACCUUUCCACCUAAACAUCCAUAAAACGCUCUC